rnacentral:rRNA from 1 species
UAAAACCAAGCAUUCUUCGGAAUGUUUUGUGUUGAAACUGAAUAUAUCUGCUGAUCGUAUGGUCUUGUACCGACGACAUGUCAUUCAAGUGUCUGAUCUAUCAACUUUCUAUAUAAGUAUAUAGUACUUAUAUGGUUUUGACGGAUAACGGGGUAUUAGGGUACGACUCCGGAGAAAAUGCCUGAGAAACGGCGUUUACAUCCAAGGAAGGCAGCAGGCGCGAAAAUUACCCACUCUCAGUACGAGGAGGUAGUGACGAGAAAUGACAAGAUCUAUUCCUUCGGGGAUGGAUCAUUGGAAUGGUUUGAUUUUAAAAUCAUUAAAGAGUAUCAAUGAUAGGGCAAGUCUGGUGCCAGCAGCCGCGGUAAUUCCAGCUCUCAUACUGCAUUGAAUUGUUGUUGCGGUUCAAAAAGCUCGUAGUUGGAUCUGUACAUGAAACGUUAGUUUAUUCUUUACGGAAUAUAACUAAUACUAAAUGCUUUUUGU